rnacentral:rRNA from 1 species
UACGUAGGGAGCAAGCGUUGUCCGGAAUCAUUGGGCGUAAAGCGCGCGUAGGCGGCCCGGUCAGUCCGUCGUGAAAGUCAAAGGCUCAACCUUUGAAUGUCGAUGGAUACUGCCCGGGCUAGAGUCCGGAAGAGGCGAGUGGGAAAUUCCUGGUGUAGCGGUGGAAUGCGCAGAUAUCAGGAGGAACACCAGUGGCGAAGGCGGCUUCCUGGCCUGUUCUUGACGCUGAGGCGCGAAAGCUAGGGGAGCAAACGGG